rnacentral:lncRNA from 1 species
UUGGCGGCCCGGCCUUCGGGAAGUUAUUUUUUGGCGCGGCUUUGCACACGUCCUAUUUUUGGCACACGGAGCCCCUCACAAAGUCUCGCGGUAUUCCGAGUCCGGCGGACGAAGUUGGCCAGCCCCACCCCCCAAGGCUAUAGCCCACCCGUUUUUGUGGCCUUUUUCCGCUGGACGAACUUGGCGCCCCCACCUUCGGGAAGUUAUUUUUGGGCGCGGCUUUGCACACGGCCUAUUUUUGGCACACGGAGCCCCUCGCAAAGUCUCGCGGCAUUCCGAGUCCGGCGGACGAAGUUGGCCAGCCCCACCCCCCAAGGCUAUAGCCCACCCGUUUUUGUGGCCUUUUUCCGCUGGACGAACUUGGUGCCUCGGCCUUCGGGCGGUUAUUUUUGGGUGCGGCUUUGCCCGCGGCCUAUUUUUGGCUCACGGAGGCCCCUCGCAAAGUCUCGCGGCAUUCCGAGUCCGGCGGACGAAGUCGGCCAGCCCCACCCCCCAAGGCUAUAGCCCACCCGUUUUUAUGGCCUUUUUCCGCUGGACGAACUUGGCGCCCCGGCCUUCGGACGGUUAUUUUUGGGUGCGGCUUCAACCGCGGCCUAUUUUUGGCUCACGGAGGUCCCUAACAAAGUCUCGCGGCAUUCCGAGUCCGGCGGACGAAGUUGGCGAGCCCCACCCCCCAAGGCUAUAGCCCACCCGUUUUUGUGGCCUUUUUCCGCUGGACGAACUUGGCGCCCCGGCCUUCGGGCGGUUAUUUUUGGGAGCGGCUUUGUCCGUGGCCUAGUUUUGGCUUACGGAGGCCCCUCACAAAGUCUCGAGGCAUUCGGAGUCGUGCGGACAAAGUAGACCAGCCCCACCCCCCAAGGCUAUAGCCCACCCGUUUUUCUGGCCUUUUUCCGCUGGACGAACUUGGCCCCCGGCCUUUGGGCGGUUAUUUUUGUGUACGGAUUUGCCCGCGGCCUAUUCUUGGCUCAAGGAGGCCCCUCGCAAUGGUUCGCGGUAUUCCGAGUCGGGCGGACAAAGUAGACCAGCCCCACCCCCCAAGGCUAUAGCCCACCCGUUUUUGUGGCCUUUUUCCGCUGGACGAACUUGGCGCCCCGGCCUUCGGGCGGUUAUUUUUGGGAGCGGCUUUGCCCGUAGCCUAUUUUUGGUACACGGAGGCCCCUCGCAAAGUCUCGCGGCAUUCCGUGUCUGGCGGACGAAGUGGGCCCACCCCACCCCCCAAGGCUAUAGCCCACCCGUUUUUGUGGCCUUUUUCCGCUGGACGAACUUGGCGGCCCGGCCUUCGGGAAGUUAUUUUUUGGCGCGGCUUUGCACACGUCCUAUUUUUGGCACACGGAGCCCCUCACAAAGUCUCGCGGUAUUCCGAGUCCGGCGGACGAAGUUGGCCAGCCCCACCCCCCAAGGCUAUAGCCCACCCGUUUUUGUGGCCUUUUUCCGCUGGACGAACUUGGCGCCCCCACCUUCGGGAAGUUAUUUUUGGGCGCGGCUUUGCACACGGCCUAUUUUUGGCACACGGAGCCCCUCGCAAAGUCUCGCGGCAUUCCGAGUCCGGCGGACGAAGUUGGCCAGCCCCAC